rnacentral:lncRNA from 1 species
UCACAAAUCACAUAAAGACAACAUGAACUUAGUAUUCAAAUAAAAGUAUAUCGGAAGUAAAAAAACCUCAAUGACGGUCGCCGAGAAGAAUAUACUAAACUAAAAUCGAAGACCGUCGAAUCGGACCUCGGAACGACAACCUCGAAGCUUACCCGAAAAAUUCGAAACUCAACAGUGAUUUCAGGACUGAUUUUUAGUGUUGUGAUGCAGCUGAUUUUGGGUGGUUUUAAUGGUGUUUUUCGAGCUGAUUUUU